AUUGAACGCUGGCGGCAGGCCUAACACAUGCAAGUCGAACGAGUGGCGGACGGGUGAGUAAUGUUUGGGAAACUGCCUGAUGGAGGGGGAUAACUACUGGAAACGGUAGCUAAUACCGCAUACCACAAGAUCUGCCCUGAUGGGAUUAGCUAGUUGGUGGGGUAACGGCUUACCAAGGCGACGAUCCCUAGCUGGUCUGAGAGGAGGACCAGCCAAACGGGAACUGAGAAACGGCCCAGACUCCUACGGGAGGCAGCAGGGGGGAAUAUUGCACAAUGGGCGAAAGCCUGAUGCAGCAAUGCCGCGUGUAUGAAGAAGGCCUUCGGGUUGUAAAGUCCUUUCAGCAGGGAGGCGUUACCCGAAGAGGAAGCACCGGCUAACUCCGUGCCAGCAGCCGCGGUAAUAC
rnacentral:rRNA from 1 species